rnacentral:siRNA from 1 species
AAUAACUCUAGACAUAUAUGUCUU